rnacentral:rRNA from 1 species
UAGGGAAUCUUCGGCAAUGGACGAAAGUCUGACCGAGCAACGCCGCGUGAGUGAAGAAGGUUUUCGGAUCGUAAAACUCUGUUGUUAGAGAAGAACAAGGACGUUAGUAACUGAACGUCCCCUGACGGUAUCUAACCAGAAAGCCACGGCUAACUACGUGCCAGCAGCCGCGGUAAUACGUAGGUGGCAAGCGUUGUCCGGAUUUAUUGGGCGUAAAGCGAGCGCAGGCGGUCUCUUAAGUCUGAUGUGAAAGCCCCCGGCUCAACCGGGGAGGGUCAUUGGAAACUGGGAGACUUGAGUGCAGAAGAGGAGAGUGGAAUUCCAUGUGUAGCGGUGAAAUGCGUAGAUAUAUGGAGGAACACCAGUGGCGAAUGCGGCUCUCUGGUCUGUAACUGACGCUGAGGCUCGAAAGCGUGGGGAGCAAACAGG